AGUAACGGCGAGUGAAGCGGUAACAGCUCAAAUUUGAAAUCUGGCUCCUGCGGAGUCCGAGUUGUAAUUUGUAGAAGAUGCUUUGGGAGGUAGGCUCGGCCUAAGUUCCUUGGAACAGGACAUCAGAGAGGGUGAGAAUCCCGUAUGUGGCCGUGGCCUACGCCCGUGUAAAGCUCUUUCGACGAGUCGAGUUGUUUGGGAAUGCAGCUCAAAAUGGGUGGUAAAUUUCAUCUAAAGCUAAAUAUUGGCCAGAGACCGAUAGCGCACAAGUAGAGUGAUCGAAAGAUGAAAAGCACUUUGGAAAGAGAGUUAAACAGUACGUGAAAUUGUUGAAAGGGAAGCGCUUGCACCCAGACUUGGGCGUCGUCGAUCAUCCGAGGUUCUCCUCGGUGCACUCGGCGAGGCACAGGCCAGCAUCGGUUUGGAUGGUUGGAGAAAGGCUCUAGGAACGUAGCUCUCUUCGGGGAGUGUUAUAGCCUAGGGCGUCAUGCAGCCCAUCCGGACCGAGGACCGCGCCUUCGGGCUAGGAUGCUGGCGUAAUGGUUGCAAGCGACCCGUCUUGAAACACGGACCAAGGAGUCUAACAUCUAUGCGAGUGUUUGGGCGUUAAACCCAUACGCGGAAUGAAAGUGAACGUAGGUGAGAACCCGUCGGGGUGCAUCAUCGACCGAUCCUGAUGUCUUCGGAUGGAUUUGAGUACGAACAU
rnacentral:rRNA from 1 species